AUUGAACGCUGGCGGCAGGCCUAACACAUGCAAGUCGAGCGGAUGAAGGGAGCUUGCUCCUGGAUUCAGCGGCGGACGGGUGAGUAAUGCCUAGGAAUCUGCCUGGUAGUGGGGGAUAACGUCCGGAAACGGGCGCUAAUACCGCAUACGUCCUGAGGGAGAAAGUGGGGGAUCUUCGGACCUCACGCUAUCAGAUGAGCCUAGGUCGGAUUAGCUAGUUGGUGGGGUAAAGGCCUACCAAGGCGACGAUCCGUAACUGGUCUGAGAGGAUGAUCAGUCACACUGGAACUGAGACACGGUCCAGACUCCUACGGGAGGCAGCAGUGGUGAAUAUUGGACAAUGGUCGAAAGCCUGAUCCAGCCAUGCCGCGUGUGUGAAGAAGGUCUUCGGAUUGUAAAGCACUUUAAGUUGGGAGGAAGGGCAGUAAGUUAAUACCUUGCUGUUUUGACGUUACCAACAGAAUAAGCACCGGCUAACUUCGUG
rnacentral:rRNA from 1 species